rnacentral:rRNA from 1 species
AUUGAACGCUGGCGGCAGGCCUAACACAUGCAAGUCGAACGAGUGGCGGACGGGUGAGUCAUGUCUGGGAAACUGCCCGAUGGAGGGGGAUAACUACUGGAAACGGUAGCUAAUACCGCAUACCAUCGGAUGUGCCCAGAUGGGAUUAGUUAGUAGGUGGGGUAACGGCUCACCUAGGCGACGAUCCCUAGCGGGUCUGAGAGGAUGACCAGCCACACGGGAACUGGGACAGGGUCCAGACUCCUACGGGAGGCAGCAGGGGGGAAUAUUGCACAAUGGGCGCAAGCCUGAUGCAGCAAUGCCGCGUGUAUGAAGAGGGCCUUCGGGUUGUAAAGUACUUUCAGCGAGGAGGCGGUACUCGCAGAAGAAGCACCGGCUAACUCCGUGCCAGCAGCCGCGGUAAUAC